rnacentral:rRNA from 1 species
CCCUUAGACGUUCUGGGCCGCACGCGCGCUACACUGACCAGUGCAACAAGCAUCCGUCCUUGGCCGACAGGCUCGGGCAAUCUUUGAACGCUGGUCGUGAUGGGGAUAGACUUUUGCAAUUUUUGGUCUUCAACGAGGAAUUCCUAGUAAACGCAAGUCAUCAACUUGCAUUGAUUACGUCCCUGCCCUUUGUACACACCGCCCGUCGCACCUACCGAUUGAAUGGUCCGGUGAAAAUUUCGGAUACCGGCAUUGCUGGCGGUUCGCCGCCGGCGACGCUGGUAGAAGAUCUUUAAACCUUAUCAUUUAGAGGAAGGAGAAGUCGUAACA